rnacentral:rRNA from 1 species
GAUGAACGCUAGCGGCAGGCUUAAUACAUGCAAGUCGAGGGGUAGCAAGAUUGUAGCAAUACAAUUGUUGACGACCGGCAAACGGGUGCGGAACACGUACACAACCUUCCUACAAGUGGGGAAUAGCCCAGAGAAAUUUGGAUUAAUACCCCGUAACAUAGCGAUGUGGCAUCACAUUGCUAUUAUAGCUUCGGCGCUUGUUGAUGGGUGUGCGGCUGAUUAGAUAGUUGGCGGGGCAACGGCCCACCAAGUCUACGAUCAGUAGCUGAUGUGAGAGCAUGAUCAGCCACACGGGCACUGAGACACGGGCCCGACUCCUACGGGAGGCAGCAGUAAGGAAUAUUGGACAAUGGACGCAAGUCUGAUCCAGCCAUGCCGCGUGAAGGAUUAAGGUCCUCUGGAUUGUGAACUUCUUUUAUAAGGGACGAAAAAAGGUCUUUCUAGAUCGUCUGACGGUACCUUAUGAAUAAGCACCGGCUAACUCCGUGCCAGCAGCCGCCGUAACAC